GUGAGAGUCACCGUCGCCGUACUGAUACCGAGGACAACGCGGCGUGUGUGCCUGUAAUAGAGAAGCCGCGUAUAGGCAAGUGACACAUAUCGAGCGCGCCGACCCGGAGCGGCAGCCUCACUGCACCUUUCGCCUCCACCGCACGUCUGCCAGAGGUGCCGUCCGUUGCUUUCGUUGACGUUGAGCUUACGGUUGGUCCGAGAUAUUGAGCUCGGCGUACACGCAGAAUAAAGCGCCGGCACUUCUCCCCCUUCUAUACACGUAUUUUCGCUGCCUUACAUGCAGUCUUCAGGUUGCUCCAUAGUGGUUGGAGCGUGAACGAGCACAAGCCUCCUCCCUCACUCGCCGGAUGCAUCGCCCGCCGUGGUCAACUCACUCGGCUAGCCUGGAUCAAGUCGUUCGACACGCCGCGAGUGGUCACAGCGGUAGCUGCAAAGGCAGCGGUGGUGGGGGCACCGUUCCGUCGACAUCGCUUCUUUGCUCCUCCGCGCUCGAUGGCGUGUCCACCGCGGCUGCCGUCUCGCGCUUGGCGGUGCAGAGCGGCCCAUCUGUGUCACUUGCGCAAACGCCGACUGUGCAGGCGAUGCACGUGCUAUGUCAGGGCUUCCUUGAGACCUACGAAACACCAGAGGCACUUGCGCGAGACACGGCGUGGUGGUCGGGAGAGGCUGCCUGUCUGCACGCUGCGCACACAGAAGGCAAACACCACACCUACGUACCUGUUGAAGCGCCGUCUGCGGCGGUGGAGCAGUGGGGCGAGCUCAUGAGGCACAUGACUGAAGUGGUUGAAUCGACUCACCAUAUCACCGCGGCGCAGCGGCAAGAGGACGCCAUACCAGCGCUCUCACUGUCGCCACUGCGGAAGCCGGAUGUAUCGGGCGAGGUGAACCACCUGCAGUUUGGCAACGACGUGCAGAAUGGCGCCUGGGAGAGUCUCGAGAUCCUCGACAGUUUGCCACACGGGGGUGGUGGGGCCGCCGCUGCCAUGCACUGUGACGACGAAUGCCUGCGUGUGUUGGAGGCUGCCCUUCGGAACCCCACUCAGCACCGUGAUGAGGAGGCGGAUCUGCUUGAUAGCCUGCGGUACUUGUUGAAGCACCGCCCGGAGCUCAUCGUCCAGCACGAGAACUUCACCGACCUCCAACAGGCAGUGAUCGACCGCGCAUGCUUGCACGAGGAAAGCGGUUGGACAGAGGCGGCCUUGUCACUGUUCCAGGCCCUCCCUCCCCGUGCCCAGCUCGAUUUUACGCACGCCGCGAUCUCCGCAGUGCGUUCUCUGGGUCGCACUGGCAAGUCAGCCGAUCUGUCCCUCGUGCGCUUCCUGCAUCUUCUUCUCAUGGAGCUACCACAGGGAUGGGCGCCUCUGCUAGACUACGAGGUGACGGAGGUUUUCGUGCGCGUGCUCACGGAUGUGGUUGUUCCGUGUGGAAGGCUCUUCAGCGAGGUAGACCCUCGCGCUGUGUGGCUGGAGCAGUGGUCGGCGCGGCCUUCAUUCGCCCUCUCGUUGGACGCUGUUCUCCACUCGCAUCGGUGUCUCCUAGGCGAUCUCGCCGCGCAGCUGCCCUCUCCUCAUGCAGCGUGCGUGCUGCUGUACCUGCUCCCACAGCUGAGCGAGCGCACUGAGCCACAGGACCCGUCUACACCGCCGUCGCAGCAGCCUUGGCCAGGGCUGUUUCGCGUGCUUCUCCAGCUGCUGUGCAGUGAGGUUGGGCCAGACGCGGGCUUGUACGAAGUGGGUGCUCAUGCUCUAUGCCGCUGUGUUGGCUCUUUGUCGCCGGCAGACAAGGAAGCCACCUUCGAGGUGGCCUCGAAGGUGGUGCUCGGCUGGGCGCCAACGGUGACGUCGCCGGCGCACGACGCUCAGUUCGUCUUUGCCCUGCGCCUUUUGGCAACGUUGCUCAUAGGCACCGGCGAGAAGGCGCUCUGCUGCAGCCCGUACGCAUGGAAGCUCGUGGACGGCCCGCUCUUUGCCCAAUCUCGCGCGUUGCUGCUAACUCGCAAGGAAAGACGGUCGUCAGCGCACUCGCUGUUCCGCGCUCUCACCGUCGACGUCUCAGACGUUGUACGCGAGUGCUGGACGCGGCUGCUUCAGGCGCAAGCCCCGAAGCUGCCGAUCACCCUCACAGCUGUCGUAAAUGACGUGUGCGGCGGCGGAAGCGCUUUUCGCUGGACUGAGCUGGUUUGGGUGUCGACCACGCUAGCCGGGUGGACCGCGCUCCAGCCGUACAUGCGGACCGUCAAAGAGGACGUCACCGACCCGCCGGCACGCUGGACGGAGCUGCUGAACGCGAUUGUCGAAGUUGGUGGGGGCGCUUUCGACGCGACGUCGGAGAUGUGGGCCGUCUCGACCACGUCGAUCAGCCCAUCCACGAAGAAAAAGUCGCGCCCGCCUGGUUGUCUGCGCUCCCUCACCCCGCACAGCGUGGCACUGCUGCUCCGCUGGUCUACAUGCGCGGUGGCUCGCGAUGGCCUGGCUGAGGCCGCGCGUGCUGCUUCGCUUGCCUUUCUUCGAGGCGGCCCGAGCGCAGAGAGUCGGCGCCUGCGAUGGCCGCUUCUCUUGCCCGUGGAGGCGUAUCCGCAAGUCGGCUGGUCGGACUUGUCUUUUGGCGAAGACGCGUUCGGUGUUGCCCGUGCCGCCCGCGCCGGCGCCUGCUACCAGUCCAUCCACCUUCUCCUUGGAUCGACCGCCUUGCCCGCCGACGACGGCGGUGGUGGCAGUGACCCAAGUCGAGAGCUGCUGGAAGAGAUUUGGGGGCAACUCGCGGACCUGUGGCUUGCGCCGGCGCAGCUCACUCCAGACUCGGCCGGCAGCGCCGCUUCGGCCGCCGUGCCGACAAACCGCCCGCCCUUCGGCGAAGAUUCCCUUCUAACGUUGCUUUCCGCCAUGGCCCUUUGUGUGCUUGUGCGGCCGUCUGCGGAGUUCCGGGCGUGGUUCGACCCAGCCGUCGCACAGCAGCGCAUGCUUCAGCUGCGCCGGCUGUGUGAGGAGCGCCGCGGGGUGGACCCGAUAUACUUUAUGGUGCGCUUUGUGACUUCCGGCAAGGGUCGAAAACGGCUGCCAGCGAUUUUACUGGACGGCUUCGAGGCGGAGCUGACGGUCGACACGGUGUGUGACGUAGACAGCUUCACCGAGGGCGAGGCUCUGCCGACGGGCGACAUCGCCUCCUCCGCGACAGAGGAGGAGGCGCAGCAGCUGCAGGCGAUGAUCCGCCGCUUGUCGUCGAGCUACAGUGCGCCCCCAUCCGAGGCACAGGCUCCUGUCGCGUCGCCGCCGCCCCACUCCAAGGCGCUGGCGGCGGUCGCCAGAAGCCUGCUGGCGAACCGGACAGCGCUUCGAGUCACACGUCACGACGUAGAGCAGUGUCUGGCACGACGCAGCGCCGAAGAGUGGGCAUCGUAUGCCAACACUGAGGCUCGCGUGUUGGCGGUGUGCGCGCAACUGGAACAGCAGCACUGUGCAAGCACCGCGCUGCUGUCCAGCGCUCAGGUGGACGUGGUGUUUCUCGUGUCGCUGUGCCUGCGCAGCUGGUUAGGCCUCCCGACGACACACAGCACGCCUGCGCGGCGCAAGCUCUACUGGACAGCUCUGCAGUGCUUCAGCGAGCACGGCAUUGCUGCUUAUGAUGCAUUGGUGGCGCGCAGCAUCGCCUUGCAUGUGGAGCGGGCACUGCGGGAGAGUGCUGCCGUCGUGAAGGACGCCGUCUUGUUUCCCGUUUCGCGCUCAGUGCCACUGCCCUCCGCUCUCUUCGCGCACUUGCUGGUGCGACCCUUUGCGCUGGCGAUGAACUGAACGGCCAUCGUGCCUGGAGGUAAAGUGCGACGGGGCGCGGUGGUGGGGGUGCCACAGGUGCGGCUGCUCUCCACUCUGCACUUGCACGCGUGGCAGAGGAGAAAGGAUUAAGAUUCGAAAAAUGAGUGGUGCGCGGUGGCCAGUCGACACUGGGACGGCAAUGAGAAAGGCGCUUUCCACCUUUUCAUGUACACUUCGCAGCUGACACAGCUCUUUUCCAGUACGAGAAACAGCGAAGCCGCGAUUAUAACUGCUGUGGAGCAUUUAUGUGAUGUGCGGGACUUUGGUGAUGUUGCGCCCACCGCCGCCUUUUGUUCGUUCUCG
rnacentral:misc_RNA from 1 species